UACGAAGGGUGCAAGCGUUACUCGGAAUUACUGGGCGUAAAGCGUGCGUAGGUGGUUCGUUAAGUCUGAUGUGAAAGCCCUGGGCUCAACCUGGGAAUGGCAUUGGAAACUGGCGACCUAGAGUGCGGUAGAGGGCAGUGGGAAUUCCCGGUGUAGCAGUGAAAUGCGUAGAGAUCGGGAGGAACAUCUGUGGCGAAGGCGACUGCCUGGACCAGCACUGACACUGAGGCACGAAAGCGUGGGGAGCAAAAGGG
rnacentral:rRNA from 1 species